UAGGGAAUCUUCCACAAUGGACGCAAGUCUGAUGGAGCAACGCCGCGUGAGUGAAGAAGGUCUUCGGAUCGUAAAACUCUGUUGUUAGAGAAGAACACGAGUGAGAGUAACUGUUCAUUCGAUGACGGUAUCUAACCAGCAAGUCACGGCUAACUACGUGCCAGCAGCCGCGGUAAUACGUAGGUGGCAAGCGUUGUCCGGAUUUAUUGGGCGUAAAGGGAACGCAGGCGGUCUUUUAAGUCUGAUGUGAAAGCCUUCGGCUUAACCGGAGUAGUGCAUUGGAAACUGGAAGACUUGAGUGCAGAAGAGGAGAGUGGAACUCCAUGUGUAGCGGUGAAAUGCGUAGAUAUAUGGAAGAACACCAGUGGCGAAAGCGGCUCUCUGGUCUGUAACUGACGCUGAGGUUCGAAAGCGUGGGUAGCAAACAGGAUUAGAUACCCUGGUAGUCCACGCCGUAAACGAUGAAUGCUAGGUGUUGGAGGGUUUCCGCCCUUCAGUGCCGCAGCUAACGCAAUAAGCAUUUCGCCUGGGGAGUACGACCGCAAGGUUG
rnacentral:rRNA from 1 species